UACGGAGGGGGCAAGCGUUGUUCGGAAUUACUGGGCGUAAAGGGCGCGCAGGCGGCUGCUCAAGUCAGGCGUGAAAGGCCUGGGCUCAACCCGGGAAUUGCGCUUGAGACUGGGCUGGCUUGAGUGCGGGAGAGGAUGGUGGAAUUCCCAGUGUAGAGGUGAAAUUCGUAGAUAUUGGGAAGAACACCGGUGGCGAAGGCGGCCAUCUGGACCGGCAUUGACGCUGAGGAGCGAAAGCCAGGGGAGCAAACGGG
rnacentral:rRNA from 1 species